AACGAACGCUGGCGGCAUGCCUAACACAUGCAAGUCGAACGAGACCUUCGGGUCUAGUGACGCACGGGUGCGUAACGCGUGGGAACCUGCCCUUAGGUUCGGAAUAACUCCCCGAAAGGGGUGCUAAUACCGGAUAAUGUCUUCGGACCAAAGAUUUAUCGCCUUUGGAUGGGCCCGCGUUGGAUUAGCUAGUUGGUAGGGUAAAAGCCUACCAAGGCGACGUUACAUAGCUGGUCUGAGAGGAUGAUCAGCCACACUGGGACUGAGACACGGCCCAGACUCCUACGGGAAGCAGCAGUGGGGAAUAUUGGACAAUGGGCGAAAGCCUGAUCCAGCAAUGCCGCGUGAGUGAUGAAGGCCUUAGGGUUGUAAAGCUGUUUUAACCGGGAUGAUAAUGACAGUACCGGGAGAAUAAGCUCCGGCUAACUACGUG
rnacentral:rRNA from 1 species